UUAUUAUUAUUAUUAUUAUUAUUAUUUUUUUUCUUCUUUCAAAUUUUAUUCCAUUUCUUGCCGAGUGUCUUCGACUCGGCAAAGAACUCAUAGUAUACAUUGGUAGGCCAUUAAACCAAAUUAUUAUUAUUAUUAUUAUUAUUAUUAUUAUUAUUAUUAUUAUUAUUCAAGGCUCGAUCGGCAUCGGAUAAAAUGCUAAGUAUUUCUUACGUUUAUUUACGUUUUGUGUUCAAAAACCGCCGAAGUCUACUCUGCCUUUUAUCCUUUGGUGGGAUCGAUAAAAUAAGUACCAGUUGCGCACUGGGGUCGAUGUAAUCAACUAGACCCCCACCUCCCUGAAAAUUAUCAGACCUUAUACCUAUAGAGGAAAGGAUUAUUAUUAUUAUUAAUAUGAAGUCGACUUUACCUUUCAGGAUCGAUGGAAUAAGUACCAGUUAACGUACUGUGAUCGAUAUAAUCGAUUAGCCCCUACCACAAAAUUCCAGGCCUUGUACCUCUUUAGUAGAAAGGAUUACAUUAUUCUGCCGAGGUUCAUUUUGCCUUUUAUCAUUUUAGGGUUGAUAAAUUAAGUACCAGUGAAACACUGGGGUCGAUGUAAUCGACUAGUCCCCUCCCCAAAAAUUUCAGGACUUGUGCCUGUAGUAGAAAGGAUUAUUAUUAUUAUUAUUAUUAUUAUUAUUAUUAUUAUUAAGGUAGCGAGUUCGCAUGCCGAGUCAAAUGCUUAGCGACAUUUUUUCCGUCUUCACGUUCUGAGUUCAUAUCUGUGGAUGUCGAUUUUCCUUCCAUCGUUUUGGGGUCGAUAAAAUAAGUACCAGUCGAACACUGGGGUCGAUGUACUCGACUUAUAACCCUUCCCUGAAAUUGCAGGCCUUGUGCCAAAAUUUGAAAUUAUUAUCAUUACUGGCUCGAUUGGCGGAAAUUAUCAGGACAUCGGAUAAAAUGCUUAGAGGUAUUUUCUUCCGUUUCUUAACGUUCUGAGUUCAAAUUCCGCCGAGGUCGACUUUGCUUUUCGAGCUUCGGGUUCGAUGAAAGACGUACCAGUUGACUAUUGAGGUCGAUGUAAUCGACUAGACCCCUAUAUCUCUUAAAUUUCAGCCCUUGUGCCUUUAAUAUUCGUUAGAGUAUCGUACAAAGGCCGUGUGAUAUUUUUUGUAAUUCUACAUUCUGAGUUCAAAUCUUGGCGUGGCCAACUUUCCUUUUAAUCUCUUUGGAUUUCGAUAAAAUAAUACCUGUCCCCUAAAAAUUGUUGCUCUAAAACACACACACAGGCGCGCGUACACAUCUCUCUCUCUCUAUAUAUAUAUAUAUAUAUAUAUAUAUAUAUAUAUAUAUAUAUAUAUAUAUAUAUAUGAUUUUAAGCUUGGUUCUUCGAAUGGCUCUCCUUUGAUGCCCUAUUUCUCACAGAAAAGGAAGCGGGUACAGAAGUGAGAUUCGGUGGGGUAAAAUGUAUAUAGUUCAAUUUUUCGGGGGAAAAAAUAGUUUGGGACUUCGCCCUGUUUGGUAUUUGAAAAUAUAUAUAAUUUUAAGCUUGGUUCUUCGAAUGGCUCUCCUUUGAAGCCCUAUUUCUCACAGAAAAGGAAGCGGGUACAGAAGUGAGAUUCGGUGGGGUAAAAUGUCUAUCGUUCAAUUUUUCGGGGCAAAAAAAAUAGUUUGGGACUUCGCCCUGUUUGGUAUUUGAAAAUAUUUUGUGCGUGUGCGCACAAAAUGUAUAAGAUAACAGAAUAAAUAAAUUGAUAAAAGGGUUAACGCGAGUUAUCAAAGGGUCUCCUUUUACUGCCUCUAUAACAGUGAACCCCUUAAACUGGUAAUCCUUCGCAAUUUGUCCCAUCUACCCUUCUUUCUGCGCUGGCUUCAUUACAGAUACUUUAUUUUGUCGUCCCUUCGGAUUGAAGACGGACAAAGGACGAUUAAACUUAAAACGCUUAAGGGAACGGGAUUUUAUUGAUUCUUAGAGUAUAUUACGUAUCGGCUGGUACUUAUUUUCCGAUCUCAUCCACCUGGAUUGCAAAUAGAUAAAUACGCAGGUGAGAGUGUGUGGUAAGAAGCUUGCCUUUCAACCAUAUGGUUCUAAGUUCAAUCCCACUGUGUGGCGCCUUGGUUAAGUAUCUUCUAUAGCUUCCGGCCGAUCAAAGCCUUGUGGGUGGAUUUGAUAAUCAAAAACUGCAAAGUAGCCCGCUAGCGUUAAGGGUUAGAGCGCUCCGGCAAAAAUCCACCGAUAGAAUAAGUACCAAACUUUAUAAAAAAAAAAAUACUGGGGUGGAUUCAUUCGACUAAAAGUUCUUGGAGGUGAUUCUCCAGUAUGGCCGUAGUCUUAUGACUGAAGACUGAAACAAGUAAAAAAAAUAAAUAAAAUAAAAUGCGAUAAAUAGUAACGUCAACCUCAGGGAGAUUCGAACUCGCUACAAAUUUGUAUCGAUUGGAACGUUAACGGUUUUGCUACCGCCCCACUCCAGCGUGUGGAAAAGAGCUUGCAGCGAUUACUUGUCACAUUACACACACACGUUGAUGUUUGUUAAGUUGGGUAUAAAAAUCAAUUCUGUAUUAAACUGAAGUCACUCGAUGGGUUUUUUUUAAAAACUUUUAUUAUGAGGACAACGGUGUUAGUGACUUCGAAAUUUCGGUCUGCUAACCUUGUUACACACACACACACACACACACACAUACAUACACACAGCGAGUACUGACAGACAGCCGGAUAGAUGGAUGGAUGGAUGGAUAGACGGAUGGAUGGAUAGAUAGACAGACGGGUAGAUAUAAAGGGAUAGACUAGAUAGAUAGAUAGAUAGAUAGAUAGAUAGAUAGAUAGAUAGAUAGACAGACAGAUAGAUAGAUAGAUAGAUAGAUAUAUAGAUAGACAGAUAGAUAGAUAGAUAGAUAGAUAGAUAAAGAUAGACAGACAGUAGAUAGAUAUAGAUAGAUAGACAGAUAGAGAGAUAGAGAGAUGGAUAAAGAUAGACAGAUAGAUAGAUAGAUAGAUAGAUAGAUAGAUAGAUAGAUAGAUAGAUAGAUAGAUAGAUAGAUAGACGGGGACGGAUAGAGACGGAUAGUUUGGCACACACACACACCGACACAAUUCCUGAAGAUCCAGGAGUUCUGUCGUUAUUAAAAAGCGAGUGUUGGGUAUUUUUUGAACUUGGUGAGCGCCAUCCCUCACCAAUCUGUAACGGUUUCCUAUUCAGACCCAAAGUUAGCAUUCCUAAGUGGAGGGAGUGGACCAGCCGUUGUUGCCGUCGACCCCACAACUUGACUGAUCGUUUAUUUCAUCGCCCCACCAACGAUGAAAAAAACCCAAUUUGAUCUCGACUGUAUUUGAACUCAGAACAUAAAAGUUACGGAAUGAAAGCUGCGAGGCAUUUUCUUCCGACGCUAUAACGAUUCCCCCAGCCUGAACACACGCACAAGCGUGCGUGUGUGCAGACGUCUCCGUGUAAAUUCAAUUAUGGAUUUUAUAUACAACGUCUCUGUCAUUAGACUGCGACCAUUCUGGGGCACCAUACUGAAUGCUUUUAGCCGAACAAAUCGUUUCAUACCCACCAGGACUUAAUUUCUGACUCUCAUACCUAUUCUCUCGGACGCUUUUCGUCGGACAGCUAUGUUACGGGGACGUUAACGAACCAACACCGAUUAUCAAGCGGUAGUGGGGGACAAACACACACACACACACAUACGUAUAUUUGCGCGCACACACACACACUCGAUGGGAUUCCACACAGUUUCCGCUUAUAAAAUUCACUCGCAAGCCCUUGGUCAACUCGGAUGUAAUCAAGAUACCGCGCAGAGGGGCUGAACCCGAAAUCUUAAGGCUGCAAAGCGAGCUGCUUAGCUACAUAGCCACGUAGAUAGAUAGACAGAGAUAGAUAGAUAUAUAUAUAUAGAUAGAUAGAUAGAUAGAUAGAGAAAGAGAGAUAGAUAGAUAGAUAGAUAGAUAGAGAGAGAGAGAGAGAGAGAGAGAGAGAGAGACAAACAGACAGACAAAUAGAUAGAUAGAUAAAUAGACCGAUAGAUUGGUGGAUAGAUAGAUAUAGACAGACAGACAGACAGGCAGAUAGAUAAAUUGAUUGAUUGAUUAUCUAUGUAUAUUUUAUCAUUUAUUCUUUACUUGUUUGUCUUGGGAUUGCAGCCAUGCUGGAGCACCGCACUUAAGAGUUUGGGUCGAAAAAUGUACUUCACGAGUACAUUUUUUAAAAUCUUAAGCCGAACCGCUAGCUAACGUGGGACGUAAACAAACCAACUCCGGUUGUCAAGCAAUAGAAGGGGGACAAGCACACACAUAUACACAGCGUGUAUAUAUAUAUAUAUAUAUAUAUAUAUAUAUAUAUAUACACACACACAUAUAUGAAAGGGAUAUAUAUGUGUGCGCGUUGUGUGUUUAGCGGGCUUGUGCGUGUGUAUAUACAUAUUUAGUGCUAUAUGUAUUGAUUGAGUGAGUAAUAUAUAUGCAACCUGAUAAAACGAUGUUCCAACUGUGACCAUCCCACCUUUAUUCAGACGUAGUGUCUCUGAAGUUAUGGGAUGAAGGAGAUUUGACUGCUAUUUCUAGCAGCUCAUGCAACCGUGGCGUACAAUGCCUCUUUGCUGAUUAGACCAUAAUAGUCUCUGCGUUAAGCACUGACAGGUACACACGCACGCAAGCAAGCAAGCACACACUCACAAGAUCUGCGUGCGUACACACACGCAAAUACAGGCUCACUCAUACACACACGCACAUACACACACACACACAUUAACCUUUUUAGAUAUAUUUCAUCUUUUGCUUGUUUCAGUCAUUAGAUGGCGGCCAUGCUGGGGCACCACCUUGAAUUUUUGUUCGAAUGAAUCGAUUCAAGUAUCCCUUUUUUUUAAUUAUUUUUGUAAGCCUGGUACUUAUUCUGUCGAUCUCUUUUACCGAACCGUUAAGUUACGGGGACAUAAACACAACAACACCGAUUGUCAAGCGGAGUGGGGGGGGGCAAACACAUACAUAUAUGUUUAUAUAGGUUCGACGGGCUUCUUUCAGUUUCUUAUUUCUUUACUACCCACAAGGGGCUAAACACAGAGAGUACAAAUAAGGACAGACAAACGGAUUAAGUCGAUUAUAUCGACCCCAGUGCGUAACUGGUACUUAUUUAAUCGCCCCUGAAAGGAUGAAAGGUAAAGUCGACCUCGGCGGAAUUUGAACUCAGAACGUAACGGCAGACGAAAUACCUAUUUCUUUACUACCCACAAGGGGCUAAACACAGAGGGGACAAACAAGGACAGACAUAGGUAUUAAGUCGAUUAUAUCGACCCCCAGUGCGUAACUGGUACUUAAUUUAUCGACCCCGAAAGGAUGAAAGGUAAAGUCGACCUCAACGGAAUUUGAACUCAGAACGUAACGGCAGACGAAAUACGGCUACGCAUUUCGCCCGGCGCGCUAACGAUUCUGCCAGCUCGCCGCCUUUCAGUUUCUGCGUACCAAAUCCAGUGGAUUUGGUUAAGCCGAAACUAUAGUAGAAGAUGCUUGGGACUGAACCCAGAACCAUGUUAUUGGGAAGCUAGCUCCUAACCACACAGCCACGGCUGCAUCUGUUGUUUGGUUUUUCGUCAAAGGUAACCUAAUUAGGCUUAGACAAUGCUUAGAUAAUUUGUCUUAAUUUUUGGGAGGUUCUGUGGCACAUACACAACGGGUGCCGCAUGGUUUGCGUCACACAAGCUGUGGAAGAAGACACUUAAACUUGCCCCAAAGUGCUGCGCAGCUGGGGACUGAACCAGAAACCCCUUGGGUGUAACGCGGCCUUUUUUAACCACUCACACCGAGAGGACCAGCCUGUCUUGUAUGAUAUCACAUGAGUGGCUGCGUAUUCCUCAGAUAUAUUGUACACCAUGAAGUACAAUCAACGAGGGGCAGUGCGUAAGAAGGCCCUUCGUAAAAUUACAUGUACGAUGUAUUCAUUGGGGUUCCGCACAGUUUCCCUUCUACCCAGGGUACUUGCGGCAAUAAAUAUAUAUCACGCUGUUCGAUCCACUCCAACCCUUUCAACCCGGAAUUUUUUCUCAAGUGGGUAAUGGCGUGGGGUUUGUACACAUGCGAGCCUUAAUAGGGCCAUACACCCCCAUCAUACGUGUGGCGCUCCAUUUUACCAGGAAAACCGGAGCGGUACUAUAUACUCUCUUUUACUUAUUUCAGUCAUUUGACUGCGGCCAUGCUGGAGCACCGCCUUUAAUCGAGCAACUCGACCCCAGGACUUAUUCUUUGUAAGCCCAGUACUUAUUCUAUCGGUCUCUUUUGCCGAACCGCUAUGUGACGGGGACGCAAACACAUCAGCAUCGGUUGUCAAGCAAUGAUAGGGGAACAAACACAAACAUACAGGCACACACACAUAUACAUAUAUAUAUAUUUAUAUCUAUAUCUAUAUAUAUAUAUAUAUAUACAUAUAUACGACAGGCUUCUUUCAGUUUCCGUCUACCAAAUCCACUCACAAGGCAUUGGGCAGCCCGAGGCUAUAGUAGAAGACACUUGCCCAAGGUGACAUGCAGUGGGACUGAACCCGGAACCAUGUGGUUGGUAAGCAAGCUACUUACCGCACAGCCACUCCUGCGCCUAUGUAGCACAUAGGUUGUAAAAUUUUUGACUGGUACAAAUAUGUACCUGCUGUGCCGAAAGGGUUAACUACACGGUUAUGUCCCUAUAUGUACACACACACAAUCGCUCUCUCUCUACUCAGUAAAUAUGCAUACACACACGUAUUCCGUAUGCACACACACACACACACAUUCCCAGCACAUCCACAUGCACACGCGCGCGCCCGACAUGCACUUAUAAUAUACACUUUCUGUGCGCGCACAUGCAGACACAUACACACAAAUACACACUUCCAACACGCGCACGUACACACAUAUAUAUAUAUAUACAAAUACACAUACUCACACACAUAUAGACACGAAUACACACUCCCAGCACACACACACAAAGAUAUACUGCAGAUACAUGCACACACCUACCACGCAUACAUGUUGCGUAAGUACACAAGUAUACGUAUUAUCGAUGCGCGUUCACAUACACACACACGCACAUACAUACACACACAUACACACACAACAGAUACGUUGUAGACACACAAACAUAUAUACUCAUACACACACACACUUAUCCCGAAAUGCGUACACACACCCUACAGGUAUACACGCAAAUACGCUACUUCUAUCACACACACCACACACACAUACCUAUUUCUUUAUUGCCCACAAGGGGCUAAACAUAGAGGGGACAAACAAGGACAGACAUAGGUAUUAAGUCGAUUACAUCGACCCCAGUGGGUAACUGGUACUUAAUUUAUCAAGCUGGCAGAAACGUUAGCACGCCGGGCGAAAUGCUUAGCGGUAUUUCGUCUGCGUUACGUUGUGAGUUCAAAUUCCGCCGAGGUCGACUUUGCCUUUCAUCGUUUCGGGGUCGAUAAAUUAAGUAUCAGUUACACACUGGGGUCGAUGUAAUCGACUUAAUCCGCUUGUCUGUCCUUGUUUGUCCCCUCUGUGUGUAGCCCCUUGUGGGUAGUAAAGAAAUAGGUACUUAAUUUAUCGACCCCGAAAGGAUCAAAGGCAAAGUCGACCUCGGCGGAAUUUGAACUCACAACGUAACGACAGACGAAAUACCGCUAAGCAUUUCGCCCGGCGUGCUAACGUUUCUGCCAUCUCCACACACUCCCGACACGCAAACACGCUACACUUAGACGCGUAUAUCAACACACACACACACACAUUCACACACUACCUGAAUUCACAUACAUCACGCAAACGACUAAUAGUGGACACAUACACACACUCGCAUGCACACACAUGCACGCUCGAACGCAUGGACACACACACACACACACAUAUACCUGUACACAUAUUACACUACUUAUGCACACGCAUUACGCUCGCACAUACACACACCGUUACGCUACGUGUACACACUGUAUAAUGUGUGUAUAACAAACUACAGGUACACAUACACACACACAGUGAUACACGUACACACAGAGACACACACACACAUACCAAACAAACACGCCUAUGCGAUACAUACACACACACACUAUGCAAAUACACACGUACGUAAUUUUUCUCGUUGUUUAUAUAAUGUAUAGCGUCGUGGGUGCACACAUGCACACACGCGGAUGCACACAUAUGCGCAUACACGCAUGCCCAUUUACGCAUACACCUGCGGCGAGCUGGCAGAAUCGUUAGCACACCGGGCGAAAUGCGUAGCCGUAUUUCGUCUGCCGUUACGUUCUGAGUUCAAAUUCCGCCGAGGUCGACUUUGCCAUUCAUCCUUUCGGGGUCGAUUAAAUAAGUACCAGUUACGCACUGGGGUCGAUGUAAUCGACUUAAUCCGUUUGUCUGUCCUUGUUUGUCCCCUCUGUGUUCAGCCCCUUGUGGGUAAUAAAGAAAUAUGUACAUAUAUUACAUACAGUACAUGCACACACACACACACACACACACACUAGUGAUACACAUAUACACAAACACGCACACGCAGCAAACACUCUAAUGAAAUAUAUACAAACACAUGCACACACUGACGCAUACAUACGCACACUACGAAAACACACCACGCUAAUGAUAGACAUACACACUACCAGUAUACACUGUGUGCUUAACAGUAUACUGGUAUACACACACACACUAUCUAUGCAAAUUCACACACACACACACACACACUGUCUUUGCAAAUACACACACGCACAUGCGUGUUUAUUUUCUCGUGAUUUAAACAACGUCUAGCGCUCUAUCCCUAAAAGGAGAGAUUAUUUCUCCCCUCAUCUUCUCCUAGUAUCAUCGACGUUUCGAUCCUUUUUACUGAUUUUAGUGAUAAGCGUGCAGCACGCCGGGGCAUCGUCUCUAAGGGUUUUAUCGAAAUCUUACAUGUAUAAUCGAACAUCUAAGAUGCUUGGAUGUAAUUUUCUUUUGUUAUUCUUGGACUGACUUUAUCCCUAGAUUAAAUCAAUCCAAGCAUUACACACCUUUUCUUUUAUCUAUUACUUGUUUCAGGCAUUAGGCAGCGACCAUGCUGGGGCACCGCCUUGGAAAGAUUCUAGUCGAAUGAAUCGAUCCCAGUACUUGUUUUGUUUUUAAGCCUGCUGUUUAUUCUGUCGGUUUCUUUUGAUAAGUUUACGGUUGUCAGUCGGUGGUAGAAUGACAAACACAAUAAAUACACGCGUUUAUAUAUAUAUGUGUAUGUGUAUGUGUGUGUGUGUGUGUGUGUGUGUGUGUGUGUGUGUGUGUGUGUGCGCGCAUACACACACACACACAACGGUCUUCUUUCAGUUUCCAGCUACGAACAAACGGUUUACAAACAAUUUUUAGAGCAUAAAACGUCUCAAGUGAUGAACGGCCUUCAGGAACGAAUUCGUAAAUCGAGGUUUCAACACACACACACACACAUAUAUAUACACACUACAUUUUCUAUUCAUUGCAACUAUUUGUUUCGCCGGCGGACGUACACACACACACACACACACGCACAGUGUCACGUCACGCAGUGGGAUCGAACCUUAAAUCUCGUGGCUGCCAACAGAAUCACAUCGCCACACUACUGAAAACUAGAAUAGAUUUGGCAAACUGCCCUCCCGCUCUAUGUUCUGUUCCAGUCAUUGUGGCUUUCAAAACUAAGCCUGCGCUAAUCUCCGUUUAUCUUAAUCCAUCUUAAUUUGAUUCAUCCCAACUAACCUCAUAACCUCGGCUCAACUUAAUUCUGCUCAUAUUAGCUGGUUUCAUCACGGAUCAGAUCAACUCAAUUCAUUUAGCUUCACUAAUCCCGACUGAACACGACUUCAUCUUCAACUCGGCUCAACACAACGCCAUCCUUUAGCUCUGUUCAGCACGGCUUCAUCUCUACCCGGCUCAACAUAGACUCAUCUCAGCACGUCACAUUUAAGCUCGACUUAACACAUUGUCAUCUCAUUACGUCUCAACAAGGCUUCAUCUUUUAACUUGUCUCAACACGGCGUCACCUUUUAAGUCGGCUCAACACGACGUCACUUUUUAUCUUGGCUCAACACGU
rnacentral:lncRNA from 1 species